rnacentral:lncRNA from 1 species
CAAAGUUCAAUAUUUUCUAGGGUGUUAUGCUCAAGCAAAGUAAAACUUUUUUUUUUGCAGGUUCUACACAGGUUUGACUCUGCAUCAUUUUUUGCCUGCACCAGUGAAGAAUGUGUGUUCUGUGAGGAAAAGACUCCGGGAACCAACAGACACCUCAAAAAGCAACACUUUACGGAAGCAAUUUACUUUUCUGACAGCAAUACAGAGAAGUUCGUCACUGCAUGCUUUUGCAAAGAUGGAACAAACAAGAAGCAAAGCCAUUACCCACAAUGCAGCUUCAGGCCAUACUCAAGGGCUAACAACCUAAUUUCCCAUUUGAAAAACAUACAUGGUACGUAUUUCACCUUCCAUUACAGAAUAUCAUUGAAAUUACUCAAAACUUAUUUGGAAUAAAUG